UUUGGUGGCCAUAGCACGAGCAAAACACCCGGCUCCAUUCCGAACCCGGCAGUUAAGUGCCGAAGCGCUGAUGGUACUGCGUCUUAAGGCGUGGGAGAGUAAGUCACCGCCAAAC
rnacentral:rRNA from 1 species